rnacentral:lncRNA from 1 species
CUCGGUAAGGAGCACAGCGGCAGCCGCGGCCCUGCGAAACUCACUUCCGCCUCGGUAGCGGCCGCGUGACAGGAAGCUCCCUCCCCACCCGCCCGUGCCGGCCCCGGAUGUGGCGUAAUCGCGGGGUGGCGCUGAGCGCGGCCGGCGGCAGCGGCGCGGAGAUGGCGGCCGGGGCCUGGCGCUGAGUUUCCAUGGUGCCUGGGCCCCGUCGCGGCCCGGCCAUGCGGCUGCUGCUGCUGCGGGUGGGAUCCCGGCGGCGCCUGAGCUCGGGGUGAGUCGGCGCGCGGGGGGGGAGAGGAGACCCCCCCCCCCCAAAUGGGGGGCUCCCGGACGCCUGGGCCCCUCCCCGGACGCCUGGGCCCCUGGGAGGGGGGUGGAGGAGGGGGGUGUCCCGGACGCCUGGGCCCUUCCCGGACUCCUGGGCCCCUUCCUUGACGCUUGUCCUCCUGCCCCGGAUGCCUGGGCCCCUCCCUUCCCUGAACACCUGGGUCCCUCCCGGACACCUGGGCCCCUUCCCGGACACCUGGGCCGCUUCCCGGACGCCUGGGCCCCUCCCUUGACACUUGUCCUCCUGCCCCGGACGCCUGGGCCCCUUCCUUCCCUGGACACCUGGGUUCCUGGGGGGGGGUGGAGGGAGGUGUCCCGGACGCCUGGGCCCCUUCCUG